CCUACGGGUGGCAGCAGUGGGGGAUAUUGCACAAUGGGGGGAACCCUGAUGCAGCGACGCCGCGUGGGUGAAGAAGCGCCUCGGCGCGUAAAGCCCUGUCAGCAGGGAAGAAAAUGACGGUACCUGAAGAAGAAGCCCCGGCUAACUACGUGCCAGCAGCCGCGGUAAUACGUAGGGGGCAAGCGUUAUCCGGAUUUACUGGGUGUAAAGGGGGCGCAGACGGCGAUGCAAGCCAGGAGUGAAAGCCCGGGGCUCAACCCCGGGACUGCUCUUGGAACUGCGUGGCUGGAGUGGAGGCGGGGCAGGCGGAAUUCCUGGGGUAGCGGUGAAAGGCGUAGAUAUCAGGAGGAACACCGGUGGCGAAGGCGGCCUGCUGGACUGCAACUGACGUUGAGGCCCGAAAGCGUGGGGAGCAAACAGGAUUAGAUACCCGUGUAGUC
rnacentral:rRNA from 1 species